rnacentral:rRNA from 1 species
GUGGGGAAUCUUCCGCAAUGGGCGAAAGCCUGACGGAGCAACGCCGCGUGAGUGAUGACGGCCUUCGGGUUGUAAAGCUCUGUUAUAUGGGACGAACGGGCAUGGGGCGAAUACCCUCAUGCAGUGACGGUACCGUAAGAGAAAGCCACGGCUAACUACGUGCCAGCAGCCGCGGUAAUACGUAGGUGACAAGCGUUGUCCGGAAUUAUUGGGCGUAAAGGGCGUGUAGGCGGCCAGACAAGUCUGUCUUAAAAGUGCGGGGCUCAACCCCGUGAUGGGAUGGAAACUGUCGGGCUAGAGUGUCGGAGAGGAAAGCGGAAUUCCUAGUGUAGCGGUGAAAUGCGUAGAUAUUAGGAGGAACACCAGUGGCGAAAGCGGCUUUCUGGACGACAACUGACGCUGAGGCGCGAAAGCCAGGGGAGCAAACGGGAUUAGAAACCCUUGUAGUCC